rnacentral:rRNA from 1 species
GAUGAACGCUGGCGGCGUGCCUAAUACAUGCAAGUCGAACGCAUUGUGGUUGAAAUGAUAUGAAGAACUUGUUCAGAUUUGAUUUUCAACAUUGCAAUGAGUGGCGAACGGGUGAGUAACACGUGGGAAACCUACCUCUUAGCAGGGGAUAACAUUUGGAAACAAAUGCUAAUACCGUAUAAUAAUUAAAACCGCAUGGUUUUAGUUUAAAAGAUGGUCUUGCUAUCACUAAGAGAUGGUCCCGCGGUGUAUUAGUUAGUUGGUGAGGUAAUGGCUCACCAAGACAAUGAUACAUAGCCGAGUUGAGAGACUGACCGGCCACAAUGGGACUGAGACACGGCCCAUACUCCUACGGGAGGGCAGCAGUAGGGAA